GUCUCUCGACAUUUCUGCCACACAUGCGUAGCGCGACUCCCAAGCAAGCAGCUGACGGGCCUCUCCGCACCCCAGAUGGCCGGUAUCUCGUAGUCUGCGGGCGCUUGUGGCGCGCGACCAAUCCUGAUCUACCGGCAGAAGCACGCGAUGCGCUGGUGCAUGCCUUGAUGGACGCGCGACGUGCGGUCAAAGCGGCGCUACGUACGCGCGACGCGAUGCAACGCAAAGCAGCGCGCGGUGAGGUGGAUGCUGCAAAAACAGGACUCGGUGAGCGUGGGGCGGUCUGGUGGAACGACGGUGCACCCGAUUUCAAUCGUCACCUGAUGCGGACGGCGCGGAGGAACCGGGGUGUACGGGGUACAUGCCGAUUCCGAGCACCGGCCGCGCCCGCUUGGCGGCUGCGCAGUCGUUUUGAUCGCUGCUUAGUAGAGAGGGUCAGCCC
rnacentral:sRNA from 1 species